GACGAACGCUGGCGGCGUGCCUAAUACAUGCAAGUAGAACGCUGAAGGAGGAGCUUGCUUCUCUGGAUGAGUUGCGAACGGGUGAGUAACGCGUAGGUAACCUGCCUGGUAGCGGGGGAUAACUAUUGGAAACGAUAGCUAAUACCGCAUAAUAGCAGUUGUUGCAUGACAACUGUUUGAAAGGUGCAAUUGCACCACUACCAGAUGGACCUGCGUUGUAUUAGCUAGUUGGUAGGGUAACGGCUCACCAAGGCGACGAUACAUAGCCGACCUGAGAGGGUGAUCGGCCACACUGGGACUGAGACACGGCCCAGACUCCUACGGGAGGCAGCAGUAGGGAAUCUUCGGCAAUGGACGGAAGUCUGACCGAGCAACGCCGCGUGAGUGAAGAAGGUUUUCGGAUCGUAAAGCUCUGUUGUAAGAGAAGAACGAGUGUGAGAGUGGAAAGUUCACACUGUGACGGUAUCUUACCAGAAAGGGACGGCUAACUACGUG
rnacentral:rRNA from 1 species